AGGAUUAACGCUGGCGGCGUGCCUAACACAUGCAAGUCGAACGAGGUAGCAAUACCUAGUGGCAGACGGGUGAGUAACGCGUGGUCAACCUACCGUUGAGUGGGGGAUAACUAGCCGAAAGGUUAGCUAAUACCGCAUACGAGUCUCGGGGGCAUCCCUGGGCCUUAAAAGGAGCAAUCCGCUCGAUGACGGGACCGCGUCCCAUUAGCUAGAUGGUGGGGUAACGCCGUACCAUGGCACCGAUGGGUAGGCUGGUUUGUAGAGAGCGACCAGCCACACUGGGACUGAGAAACGGCCCAGACUCCUACGGGAGGCAGCAGUGAGGAAUUUUCCGCAAUGGGCGAAAGCCUGACGGAGCGACGCCGCGUGUGGGAAGAAGGCCUUCGGGUCGUAAACCACUGUCGAAGGGGACGAUAAUGACGGUACCCUUGGAGGAAGCCCCGGCUAACUACGUGCCAGCAGCCGC
rnacentral:rRNA from 1 species